ACCGCGCCGCAUAGCUAGUGGUGAGGGUAUUGUCCACCAGGCCACGAUGGGUAGCCGACUGAGAGGGUGAUCGGCCACCUGGGACUGAGGACACGGCCCAGACUCCUACGGGAGGCAGCAGUAGGGAUUCUUCCGCCAAUGGACGAAAGUCUGACUGGAGCACGCCGCGUGAGUGAUGAGGUUUUCGGUUCGUAAAGCUCUGUUGUUAGGGAAGAACAAGUACCGUUCGAAUAGGGGCGGUACCUUGACGGUACCUAACCAGAAAGCCACGGCUAACUACGUGCCAGCAGCCGCGGUAAUACGUAGGUGGCAAGCGUUGUCCGGAAUUAUUGGGCGUAAAGGGCUCGCAGGCGGUUUCUUAAGUCUGAUGUGAAAGCCCCCGGCUCAACCGGGGAGGGUCAUUGGAAACUGGGGAACUUGAGUGCAGAAGAGGAGAGUGGAAUUCCACGUGUAGCGGUGAAAUGCGUAGAGAUGUGGAGGAACACCAGUGGCGAAGGCGACUCUCUGGUCUGUAACUGACGCUGAGGAGCGAAAGCGUGGGGAGCGAACAGGAUUAGAUACCCUGGUAGUCCACGCCGUAAACGAUGAGUGCUAAGUGUUAGGGGGUUUCCGCCCCUUAGUGCUGCAGCUAACGCAUUAAGCACUCCGCCUGGGGAGUACGGUCGCAAGACUGAAACUCAAAGGAAUUGACGGGGGCCCGCACAAGCGGUGGAGCAUGUGGUUUAAUUCGAAGCAACGCGAAGAACCUUACCAGGUCUUGACAUCCUCUGACAAUCCUAGAGAUAGGACGUCCCCUUCGGGGGCAGAGUGACAGGUGGUGCAUGGUUGUCGUCAGCUCGUGUCGUGAGAUGUUGGGUUAAGUCCCGCAACGAGCGCAACCCUUGAUCUUAGUUGCCAGCAUUCAGUUGGGCACUCUAAGGUGACUGCCGGUGACAAACCGGAGGAAGGUGGGGAUGACGUCAAAUCAUCAUGCCCCUUAUGACCUGGGCUACACACGUGCUACAAUGGACAGAACAAAGGGCAGCGAAACCGCGAGGUUAAGCCAAUCCCACAAAUCUGUUCUCAGUUCGGAUCGCAGUCUGCAACUGAUGCGCGCACCGCACACGCCCAACCAGCAUGCAUAGCCGUACGCUAACGUGAAAAAACCCGG
rnacentral:rRNA from 1 species